GAUGAACGCUGGCGGCGUGGAUGAGGCAUGCAAGUCGAACGCGAAAGCCGCAAGGCGAGUAAAGUGGCGGACGGGCGAGUAACACGUAAUCAAGCUGCCCAAGAGACGGGGAUAACCUCGGGAAACCGAGGCUAAUACCCGAUGGUCUGCCGGGGGCGCAUGUUCCUGGUAGGUAAAUGGACGGGAUCCUUCGGGACCGUCUGCUUUUGGAGGUGAUUGCGGCCCAUCAGCUAGUUGGUAGGGUAAUGGCCUACCAAGGCAACGACGGGUAGCCGGCCUUAGAGGGUGGUCGGCCGCACUGGGACUGAGACACUGCCCAGACUCCUACGGGAGGCUGCAGUCGAGAAUCUUCCGCAAUGGGCGAAAGCCUGACGGAGCGACGCCGCGUGGAGGAUGAAGGCCUU
rnacentral:rRNA from 1 species